rnacentral:tRNA from 1 species
CAAGUUAUAGCUUAAAAUAGUAUUUUAUUUACAUUAAAAAGAAAGAUUGUUAAAUCAAUUUAAUUUGA